UCCAUAGCCAUACAGCAUUCACUCCAAGCUGCAGUGGUUUUAUUUGUGUGAUACAUCAGUAUUGUUACAAGCUAUUUUCUACACACACUUAGGCUACGUCUACACUGCAGGGGGAUCUUUUUCUGCUUGUUUUUUCAGCAGAGACUUUUCCAACAUUUGGCUUGUCUCUAAAAUGAGGAAUACAGGGAUGCCGAAAGAACGCGCUUGCUUUUUCGGAAACUUUUCUGAAACCAGUGGACACGAUCCCUAGACGUGGCAGAGUAUCCUGAAAAACUCUGCAGUUUAGACAUAGCCUUAGGUAGCUGAGAGCCAUCUUCAAAAGAUCAGAAACACCCUCCUGUUCCAAAUGACAUUAAAGUCUGUAAGAGGAUCGUAGCUUUCUCAAUACCAGCCAGAAGAUUUCUUGACUUUUUAUUUGGAAGUUCUUUUGAAUGUGAGGAAACUUAAGGAGCUAAACAAAACAAAGAAUGAAGGGAGAUAUGAUUGCUCUCUAAAUACAUGAGCGGGAUAAACACCAGGGAGGGAGAUGAGUUAUUCAAGUGAAGGACCAGUAUUGGUGCAAUCCAUAUAAAUCGGACAAGAAAAUUUUAGGUUUGAGAUUUGAUGGUUUCUAAUCUUCAGAGCUUUCCCAGGGGAGUAACGAGGGCAAAAAAAACCUAACUUGUUUUCAGACUGCCUUUGGUAAGUACAGGGAGGAAAGGUAUGAUGACAUUGCAUGCAACAGCAUAUAGGCCAUUUGUAACUGCUAUUAGCAAAUAUCUCCAAUGGCCAGAUAUGGGAUGCUAGAGGGCUCUGAACUACUACAGAUAAUUCUUUCCCAGGUCUUCACAUGCUCAGGGUCUAACUGACCAUUGUGUUUGGAGUCAGGAAGGAAUUUUUCCCAGGUUAGAUUGGCAAAGAUAUUGUAUAUGGUGUGGAGGAAAGGCUGUUCAUCUUCCUCUGCUGUAGGGGGCACAAGGUCUCUUGUUAGUUUCAACUAGAGUAAAUGAUGGAUACUCUGUAGCGGUUGUAUGGAAUGCGUUAUUUUUCUUUGGAUCAGUUUCAGCUUUUGCAGACUGAGGAUGUGAACAGGGUGCUUGGAGGAGUGCGACCGACCAUGUGCUCGCCGAACCCUUGCCCUUUAUGGCUUAUUAAAUCGAGCCAAGAAGGGAUGACUGGUUGGAUCCAGAAGAUUAUUAAUGCGUCUUUUCGGUCUGGGACAGUUCCUGCCAACUUGAAAGAGGCGGUGAUAAAACAGUUCCUUAAGAAGCCUACCCUGGACCCAUGCAAUGUGAAUACCUAUCUUCUAGUCACUAAUAUUCUUUUCUUGGGCAAGGUACUUGAGCGGGUGGUGGUGUUGCAACUCCAAGCUUUCUUGGAAGAAACAGAUUAUCUAGAUCCAUUUCAGUCUGGCUUCAGGCCUAGUUUUGGAACAGAAACCACCUUGGUUGCCUUGGUAAAUGACCUACGCCAAGAGACAGAUGGGGGAGUGCAUCCCUGUUGAUUCUCUUGGACCUCUCAGUGGCUUUCAGUACCAUUGAUCAUGAUAUCCUUCUGGAGCACCUGAUGGAGCUGGGUAUUGGAGGCACUGUUUUGCAGUGGUUCCAGUCCUACCUGUCAGGACAUUCCAGAAGGUGGAGUUUGGGGGCUGCUGCUUGACCACAUGGUAAUUGUGCUACGUACGGGGUCCCACAACAUCUUGUCCCCUGUGCUGUUUAACAUUUACAUGAAACCACUGGGAGAGGUCGUAAGGAGAUUUAGGGGAUGGUGCCAUCAAUAUGCAGAUGACACCCAACUCUAUUUCUCUGUGACGUCGGGUACAGGUAUGGCAGCGAUCAAUCUGAACCAGUAUCUAGACACAGUGAUGACCUGGAUGAGAUUGAAUAGGCUGAAGCUGAAUCCAGAUAAGACAAGGUCUUGUGGAUCAGGAAGCCAUCUGUCCGGGAAUGUGAUGUUCUGGAUGGGGUCACACUCCCCUGAAAGAACAGAUAAGCAGCUUGGGAUUCCUCCUCGACCCUUUUUUAACAUUGAAAAUCAGAUUUUCUCACUAGUCAUGAGUGCUUUUGGGCAGCUUUGGAUGAUCCGCCAGCUGCAAGCCUUCCUGAAUAAGAACGACUUGGCUACAGUGAUUGAUGCCUGAUUGGACUAUUGUAAUGCCCUUAUGUGGGGCUGCCUUUGAAGAGUCUUUGGAAGCUUCAGCUGGUCCAGAAUGCAGCUUCUUGAGUGUUAACUAAUACUCGUUAUACAGAGCACAUUAUGCUAGUGCUUAGGCAGCUUCACCAGCUUCAGGAAAUCCAGAAAAAAUAUUAAAGAGCUGCAUGAUAGAGAGACUGAAAAUUGAAGAGACAUUGAGGAAGAAGCAACAACGCUGCUGAAAAAUUAUAAAUUAUUUACUCACCAUUCGGACUCUGUUCGACUUCACAAAAGCGAAUUCCUUCAGGAACAAAGAUAAAGGAGUGGACAUGGGGAAUGCCUUUCUACAGAUUUAAAACACACUUUAAUGCCUAAAGACUUCAGCUACAGUGGACUCUCUUGUGCUGGGCACUAUACAAACAUCAAAGUUGUAGCCUUUCAACUAUAUGUCUGAAGAGUGAAAUGUAGAUUAUUGAAAAUGGAUUGGAUUUCUUUAUGCCUCCUGUUUCAGAUGCUGUGUCAUAGUGUUCAGCAACCAGGAUUCACACUACCACUUGAACUGUUGUCUGACCGUUUACCCCAAAAGUUAGUCUUUGCAACAAGACACUCAAAG